GUAGACAACUUUAAUGAUGGUAAAAAUAGGGGUGAACAUUCGGAUAAUAACUGAAUCGAAUAAGGAUUUCGGUUAUAUCCGAAAACCGAAACUACCCUGUUUUAGCUAUCCGAACAACUAACCGAAAUAUGAAAUAACCGAAUAACCGAAUACGUUAUUCGGUUAUUCGGUUAAUAACCGAAUUUAAAAGACAAUUAGCAGCAGUGCUGCAGUCUAGUGAAUUGAACAGGUACUAUUCAACUACAUUAUGUAGCCUACAUAUUACAAAAGACUCAAUCAGCAGCAAGCCAGCAAACAUGAAUGACAGUCAACUACAUAUUACAUAAACAUGAAACAUAAUGUUCCUACAUGAUUAACAAUUUAACAAUUAACACCAUAAACAUAAUCCAUAAACAUAAUGUUGUUGUUGAGUGUUGAGCAAAGUGUUCUUGCUGUUGAGCAUUUGUUGUUGCUGUUGCUGUUGAGUUUGUUGUUGUUGAGUUUGUCUUUACUGCCAUACUAGAAAGAAAACAAAGAAAGAUUCAAACUCGAUUCCAAGAGAUAUAUAGUAUUAUUUCAGCCAACACAUUAGCAUAUGGCAACAACUGCUGCUAACCUGACUUCUCAGUUGUCACAGUCACAACCAUUGUGUUUGAAAGCAGUUUAUUUUCCAUCUAAAAGACUCGACAGAUCUGGGAAUUAGAAAGAAAAUCAAAAAUAUUAAGAGCAAGAAGAAUUUUUUACUUUAAUCAACACACAGUACAAAAAAUUAUAAACCAGCUGGAUAUAGUGGUAUCCAAGACCUUAAAAGAAAACUUAGGUUGAUACGAAACUUGUAGCAAUAUUCACCACAUUAAGGCCAAGCAAAUUAAGAAUCAAAUUACAACAAGCAGUGGGACUAGGAAGAUGUAACUAUGAUAUAAAAUUGAACUUGCAUAACAUAACAGGACCAAAAUUAAACUUGCAGCACCAAAAUAAACAUAAACAGGACAUAUAUAUAUAUAUAUAUAUAUAUAUAUAUAUAUAUAUAUAUAUAUAUAUAUAGUUUGUUUGGUCUCUUAACCAAUUAAUGGAUCAAAUCACAGGCAUAGAUUAAACUUGCAGUCAUAUAUUAACCAAUUAGUACUCUCUCUGUUUAUAUCAUCCCACAUUGCUCAUUUAGUAACUCAGUUCAUACAAAUCCCUAGUUUCUAAAAAGUAACAAGAUAUUCAUAUAUACAAAAUACUGGACAACAUCCAUUGAACAAUUUUGAGGCAACUCAAUGAAUGCAUUCUCAUGACCAAAUAACUAGUAACAAAAAACCCAAAUCAGUUUUUGAAUUUUUUUUACAAAUUGAGGAUUUCAGCAAACAAAUUUAGAAUUACCCGAUUACCCAAAAUUCUUAAAUUUACAUAUACAAACAUUAGCAUAUUACUACAUCUUAUUUUGUAAGAACAUUGAAAUGGGUACCCAUCAGAGUAGAGCAAAAUUAAAGCCAAAUCAGUUCUUUUCAAAAUCUCAGAAAUUACACAUGCACAGACACAAUUACACAAAAAUAAUUACACUAAAAAGAUGCAUUAAAAAGCAAUCGGUCUUCGAGAAUUUAGUAAAGGUAAAUAAAAAAAUUACCUUAAUAAAUGGAAAGCUGUCGCCGACGCCGAGAUCUGAGAGUUCGCGAUGAACGAUAAAGGGUUGCCGGCGCCGAGAGUUCAAGAGUUCAACACUUGAGGCUUGAGAGAUCUCAGAUCUGAGACUCUGAGACUGAGAGUUCGAGAAGACGACGAGACAGUCGAGACUUGAGUCUUGAGAUGAGAGAGAUCAGAGAUCUGAUCUGAGGUGAGGACUGAGAGAGUACUGAGGUCUGAGAGUCUAAGGUAAAGAGUAACUGAGUAAGAACGAGAAAGAGAACUGGAGUGGAGAAGGAGUGAAGGACCGAGCACUCACUGCAGUAGUCUAAAUUAAAUGGUCGGCUGAGACUUGAGAGAGUGAGAGUUUGAGACGCAACGUAUCUUCAAUUUAGUAAAGUGUUGUUCGGUUUUUCGAUUUAACUGAAUAAUCCAAAAAUAAUACCCGUACAAGCUAACCGAAAACCGUAAAAUAAAUCGGUUAUAAUCGAAAUAAUGAAAAUAACCGAAUUAUCAAAAAAAUUCGAUUACAUUAUUUCGGUUCGAUUCGAUAAUUCGGUUAUAUCCG
rnacentral:lncRNA from 1 species